GAAAUGUGCAUGUUAUAAUUUGUAACAAUGUUGCCAUUCGGCCAGUUUAAUUAAAAGCAGUCCUAAAAGAGCGCACAGACGCCCUUAUGGAGAACCAAAAAGGCCUCCAGAGCCUGUUGGAAAUGAAACAGCGUUGCACCUCCGAAGUGAUCAGGAGACUCCAAGACCAAAUUGAACACACCCACCAACAAGAGAAUGCGAUUCUCAGGGAAUUCUCAAGAUGGCUGGAGGCACACUCC